UCUCUGGUGGCUCAGAUGGUACAGAAUCUGUCUGCAAUGCAGGAGGCCCAGGUUUGAUCCCUGGGUAGGGAA
rnacentral:tRNA from 1 species